GGGUCAAUGAUGAGAACUCAUAUUGUCCCAAAGAUAGAUGAUGACCUAAGAAUCAUGCUUAAUAGUAUUAUGCUGAGUUCC
ensembl:snoRNA SNORD115 Small nucleolar RNA SNORD115